GAUGAACGCUGGCGGCGUGCCUAAUACAUGCAAGUCGAGCGAACAGACGAGGAGCUUGCUCCUCUGACGUUAGCGGCGGACGGGUGAGUAACACGUGGAUAACCUGCCUAUAAGACUGGGAUAACUUCGGGAAACCGGAGCUAAUACCGGAUAAUAUAUUGAACCGCAUGGUUCAAUAGUGAAAGACGGUUUUGCUGUCACUUAUAGAUGGAUCCGCGCCGCAUUAGCUAGUUGGUAAGGUAACGGCUUACCAAGGCGACGAUGCGUAGCCGACCUGAGAGGGUGAUCGGCCACACUGGAACUGAGACACGGUCCAGACUCCUACGGGAGGCAGCAGUAGGGAAUCUUCCGCAAUGGGCGAAAGCCUGACGGAGCAACGCCGCGUGAGUGAUGAAGGUCUUCGGAUCGUAAAACUCUGUUAUUAGGGAAGAACAAAUGUGUAAGUAACUAUGCACGCCUUGACGGUACCUAAUCAGAAAGCCACGGCUAACUACGUG
rnacentral:rRNA from 1 species